CACGCUGGCGGCGUGCCUAAUACAUGCAAGUAGAACGCUGAAGGAGGAGCUUGCUUCUCCGGAUGAGUUGCGAACGGGUGAGUAACGCGUAGGUAACCUGCCUGGUAGCGGGGGAUAACUAUUGGAAACGAUAGCUAAUACCGCAUAAGAGUAGAUGUUGCAUGACAUUUACUUAAAAGGUGCAAUUGCAUCACUACCAGAUGGACCUGCGUUGUAUUAGCUAGUUGGUGGGGUAACGGCUCACCAAGGCGACGAUACAUAGCCGACCUGAGAGGGUGAUCGGCCACACUGGGACUGAGACACGGCCCAGACUCCUACGGGAGGCAGCAGUAGGGAAUCUUCGGCAAUGGACGGAAGUCUGACCGAGCAACGCCGCGUGAGUGAAGAAGGUUUUCGGAUCGUAAAGCUCUGUUGUAAGAGAAGAACGAAUGUGAGAGUGGAAAGUUCACACUGUGACGGUAUCUUACCAGAAAGGACGGCUAACUACGUG
rnacentral:rRNA from 1 species